GACAUACAGCAAAUAUGUCAAACAAAAACAUACACUGUUUGUUUCUGUUGUACUUUUACUAUUAAGUUCAGAGAAGAUAACUGUAGUUAAGGAAGUACAUUGAAUGUGUUUCUUUGGUUUAUAUACUAAAGAGAAUAUGAGAGAAUGUAACAGUUCUGUUGCUCCAUACAGAUAGCUAAAUCAGUGUAUUAGUUUUUAGAAACAGUAACAUUAAAGAUUAUCUUAUGUAGAGCCACUAAUUUAUCAUUUCAUUAAGUUGGUUUUUAAGAUUUUGUGUUUAGAGGUUAAUAACUGGUGUCAUUGUAAAUUAGCCCAAAAUGUGAUAUAUUCUGGCUAUUUGUUAGAUUGGAUAGUUACAUGAAGUUAUACAAAACUAAAGAUUGCAGGGUUGCUUUACCCUGUAUAUAAUUGUUGGUUUGUAGUUUCUCAGUUACCCGAGAAUUAUUCAUUUCAGCAAUGUGAAUUUCCCAAACAGGUACAAGAUCCAGUAAACCCUGAGAAGUCUGUAUAUGACACGUGGAAAGAUUACCACAGUGAUGGUAUGAGUGAUGAAAAAGAACCAACGGUUCCUACUUUAGGCUCUGGCUCUGAUCAUGCACCUUUUGCUUUUUAUGCUGGUAUACCGAGCAUCGAUACCUCGUGGAUUGUGGAUAAG